GGCACCAUUGAAGAAGUACCAGCGCGGAGCUAGUGCAGGAUCUGCCUUGGCAAUUGCUGUACAGGGUGUUCCCGCUGCUACUAUAGCUCAAGUUUCUGCAUGUGCAAGUGCAGCACAUUGUACUCUUCUUGGACUAAGAAAUAGCCUUGAUCCCGAGCACAAGAAAGAGUCCAUGGACAAGUAUUUGGGUCCUACUCAGCCAUGCGAUAGGAAUUGAUCCAAUGUAUGGAUUUCACCUUAACACAACAGACUGAUGUAUCUUGCCAUCCUAUCCGGAAUUCUCUUUGUAGUCAUGGUAGUCUGUAUGUCAUGUGAGUUGAACUCUCUUAUAACUUGCUCUUACAUACAUCCCUGAUAACAAAUUAUUGAACUUGCUUUAUCAAGUGGGAUAAAAAAUUGUCUAUGGUCUUGGCAAGCAUGGAGUAAAAAAGUUUGGUUUUAUCUUCGGUGAAAACACCUCCAAUAAUUGUUGAGCGUUGAAGGCGGUGAUACAUCUCCAGACUCUGGUAGUAAUCGUGCCUUUGUUGAUUUGGAUUGUGUUUUGAGUCAAAUUUUUAACAGCAGUCGAAAAUACAAUUAUCACUUGUGCUUAACCUCAUUAAGAAGAAAUGUUUACAUAUAGCUUGUAUUUCUGGAAUCAAGAGAUUAAUCCUUCAGGCCAACACAUUAUCUCAUUGCUUACAAACUUAUUUCUGGCCCUGACCCUGAAGUAUUACAUUUUGUAUGCAGGUGUACAGUCGAUGAAAACCAUCAAAUAGAUUCUUUCUGGCAAUUUUGUUCAUAAUGUAAAUGCUGAUUGGUGCUUAUAAGAUUUUCACCAUACUGCCAGAUAAUUGUAAAUUAUAGUAAUGAAAAUUGGUUACUAGGUCAUAGAAAGAUGUGCCCUUGAUUUUUUCACAGCAGAAUGUAUGUUGAUUUCAUUCAUAGUAUAAGAUUUUAUCUUAUACAACAAUAAAUAUUAAGGUUUGAUAAUUUUUAAUG
rnacentral:misc_RNA from 1 species